CCAUCAAUGAACUAAUGUGAAAGAUAACAUGGCUCCAUCUGCAUUCCGACCCCGACAGUUAUUUCUCUGGAGGUAGACAGCAUUCUUUCUCUGCUGUAAGUCCUUCAGAAUGGUCCCGGAUCAUUGCACUGCUGAAAGUAGCUAAGUCUAUCACACUGGAUCAUUCCACAGUAUUGCUGUUCCUGUGCAUCAUGUUCUUCUGGUUCUGCUUAUUUCACUCUGCAUCAGUUCACAGAGGUCUUUCUAGCUCCCUCUGAGAUCAUCUUGUUCCUCAUUCCUUAUCGCAUAAAAUCAACCUUUUAAGAUAAAUUCCAUUAAGCAGGGAAUAUAGAGACCCCGGAACAUUAGGACUUGGGAGGCCAGGGGGGAAAUGGGAGACCUGUGUAGGACAAAGCCAAGGAGGUGGGGAUAGAUAAGGGAAAAAAUCCUAUCUAGCAGUCUCGUAUUUUAACUAAGCUCAGUUGUUUGGUCUGUGAGGGCUGUAGGUAGCUCUUCUAGCCCUCUCGGUUUCAGUACCCUAAAGCGAAAGCCUCCAUUGACCUUGUUAGGGCUCCAAACAAGGUUCAGGUCCUCCAGUUAUUAUUAAAUCUUUAUUUGGACAAAGUUCUCUCAUUAUGAGAUCAGCAGUGAAAUUAAUGAUUACUGGCGCUCACUGUGGUUCUUUCCACACCACAUGGCCCUACUACUGUCCCACAAUUUAAGCAGAACAGGAAAGAACUUAUUUUGUAUGUCUGUAUUUUUUCCUAAGUCACCGUGAUCCAAAAAGUCAUCACAUGGUAAGCUUUAAACUUUGAACCAGCACCAAGACUCUUCAGACAGCCCUUAGGAAAAGCAAAAUGGCAGAGUGAGUAGAUGCUGCACUUGGAGUCUGGGUUCAAGGCUCCUCUUCUGACACAGACCAGUAUUAGGACCCUGGACAACCAGCAAGCUGCCAUGGGAGAAAAGGCUAAACCAGGAGAUGCAGACAGGGAAAGGGGCACUUUCUGGACACAACAGCCCUUCCAGCUUGUCAGCCAGAGCCCAUCCGAAGGGCUCCAGUUCCACCAGUCUGCCCAAGUAAACUCCAUGGUCUUUCCAAGAUGUUUCCCAUACGGGGCAUCACAACCUUCCCAGAACUCUUCCACAUGGAGAAUUCCAUCUGCAGCGCUCUGUGUAUGCAGUAAGGAGCUGGCUCCAUGAGAAAUGAUGAGCAGGACAAUCAUAAAAGAGAAUCCAGAAAGAUUUCUAUGAAGUGACGCCAAAUGAAGUGAGAGAACCAGGAAAACCCCCUCCGCAGUAACACCAAUAAUGUGCAGUGAUCAACGGUCGAUGACUUAAUUAUUAUCAGCAACACCUCUAUGAGACUUGUGGUGUAAAACCCAGAGGAACUGCAUGUCAGCUAUGGGAGAGGGGUAGGGGGAGGGCAGGGAAAGAACAUGGAUCUUGUAACCAUGGGAAACUAUUCUAAAUUCACUAAUUAAAUAAAAUUUUCACAAAAAAAAAAGAGAGACUUGCG
rnacentral:lncRNA from 1 species